GCUUCAUAUAGUUUGUCACUGGC
rnacentral:piRNA from 1 species